UGGGGAAUAUUGGACAAUGGGGGAAACCCUGAUCCAGCGACGCCGCGUGUGUGAAGAAGGCCUGCGGGUUGUAAAGCACUUUUAGUGGGGAUGAAAAGCCUUGGGAUAACACCUCAGGGUCUUGACCUAACCCACAGAAAAAGCACCGGCUAACUCUGUGCCAGCAGCCGCGGUAAUACAGAGGGUGCGAGCGUUAAUCGGAAUUACUGGGCGUAAAGCGUGCGUAGACGGUAAUGUAAGUCGGGUGUGAAAGCCCCGGGCUCAACCUGGGAAUUGCAUUCGAGACUGCAUUGCUUGGGUGCGGAAGAGGGAAGCGGAAUUUCCGGUGUAGCGGUGAAAUGCGUAGAUAUCGGAAGGAACACCAGUGGCGAAAGCGGCUUCCUGGUCCGACACCGACGUUCAGGCACGAAAGCGUGGGGAGCAAACAGGAUUAGAUACCCCCGUAGUCC
rnacentral:rRNA from 1 species